GAUGAACGCUGGCGGCGUGCCUAAUACAUGCAAGUCGAGCGAACAGACGAGGAGCUUGCUCCUCUGACGUUAGCGGCGGACGGGUGAGUAACACGUGGAUAACCUACCUAUAAGACUGGGAUAACUUCGGGAAACCGGAGCUAAUACCGGAUAAUAUAUUGAACCGCAUGGUUCAAUAGUGAAAGACGGUUUUGCUGUCACUUAUAGAUGGAUCCGCGCCGCAUUAGCUAGUUGGUAAGGUAACGGCUUACCAAGGCAACGAUGCGUAGCCGACCUGAGAGGGUGAGCGGCCACACUGGAACUGAGACACGGUCCAGACUCCUACGGGAGGCAGCAGUAGGGAAUCUUCCGCAAGGGGCGAAAGCUUGACGGAGCAACGCCGAGUGAGUGAUGAAGGUCUUCGGAUCGUAAAACUCUGUUAUUAGGGAAGAACAAAUGUGUAAGUAACUAUGCACGUCUUGACGGUACCUAAGCAGAAAGCCACGGCUAACUACGUG
rnacentral:rRNA from 1 species